rnacentral:rRNA from 1 species
UGGGGAAUUUUGGACAAUGGGGGCAACCCUGAUCCAGCAAUGCCGCGUGUGUGAAGAAGGCCUUCGGGUUGUAAAGCACUUUUGUCAGGAACGAAACGGAGCGGGCUAAUAUCCUGCUCUAAUGACGGUACCUGAAGAAUAAGCACCGGCUAACUACGUGCCAGCAGCCGCGGUAAUACGUAGGGUGCAAGCGUUAAUCGGAAUUACUGGGCGUAAAGCGUGCGCAGGCGGUUAUGUAAGACAGAUGUGAAAUGCCCGGGCUUAACCUGGGAACUGCAUUUGUGACUGCAUGGCUAGAAUCUGGCAGAGGGGGGUAGAAUUCCACGUGUAGCAGUGAAAUGCGUAGAUAUGUGGAGGAAUACCGAUGGCGAAGGCAGCCCCCUGGGCCAAGAUUGACGCUCAUGCACGAAAGCGUGGGGAGCAAACAGGAUUAGAUACCCCCGUAGUCC